CCGCUGUAACACUGUAGUCUAUCAGGUCUCCAACCAUCACCCGCUGUAACACUGUAGUCUGUCAGGUCUCCAACCAUCACCCGCUGUAAUACUGUAGUCUAUCAGGUCUCCAACCAUCACCCGCUGUAAUGCUGUAGUCUGUCAGGUCUCCAACCAUCACCCGCUGUAAUACUGUAGUCUAUCAGGUCUCCAACCAUCACCCGCUGUAACGCUGUAGUCUAUCAGGUCUCCAACCAUCACCCGCUGUAACGCUGUAAUCUAUCAGGUCUCCAUCCAUCACCCGCUGUAAUUCUGUAGUCUAUCAGGUCUCCAACCGUCACCCGCUGUAACGCUGUAGUCUAUCAGGUCUCCAACCAUCACCCGCUGUAAUACUGUAGUCUAUCAG
rnacentral:lncRNA from 1 species